rnacentral:rRNA from 1 species
UCAGUCGACUCCUACGGGGAGGCAGCAGUGGGGGAAUAUUGCACAAUGGGCGCAAGCCUGAUGCAGCCAUGCCGCGUGUAUGAAGAAGGACCUUCGGGUUGUAAAGUACUUUCAGCAGUGAGGAAGGUGGGUAUGGUUAAUAGCAUACUCAUUUGACGUUAGCUGCAGAAGAAAGCACCGGCUAACUCCGUGCCAGCAGCCGCGGUAAUACGGAGGGUGCGAGCGUUAAUCGGAAUUACUGGGCGUAAAGCGCAUGCAGGUGGUUUGUUAAGUCAGAUGUGAAAGCCCGGGGCUCAACCUCGGAAUUGCAUUUGAAACUGGCAAACUAGAGUACUGUAGAGGGGGGUAGGAAUUUCAGGUGUAGCGGUGAAAUGCGUAGAGAUCUGAAGGAAUACCGGUGGCGAAGGCGGCCCCCUGGACAGAUACUGACACUCAGAUGCGAAAGCGUGGGGAGCAAACAGGAUUAGAUACCCUGGUAG